ACCUGAUCAAUGAUCCCUUCACUCUUAACAUCAGGAAACAGAGGUAUGAUGCAAGUGGAUAUAAAAUCAUGUUGCUAGAAUUCUCCAUGAAGGUCACAGGCCCCUGUGACAAGGCAGGUACACCCUGCCUUGUACCUGAAGGCCUGGUUCUGAAGCUAAGGGAGCUGCUGUAACCAGGAUCUGGUCUCACAUCAGUCUGGAGAGUGGUUGCCACUUCUUGGCUCUAGAGAACCCCCAACUUAUGUGGCUAGCGGCCCCCCAUCAUCGUGGGAUCAUUGUGCUCAGUGUGAUCACUUUGAGGAAUAUGGACAGAGAUUAAGAUUGAGAUUGAUGGAGAAAGAGAAAUACCCUAUCAAGAGCAAUAGCAGCAGAGACAGAGUGGCUCUGUGACUAGAAGGACUCCUGUGAUGGGUACGUGAACACGUAGGCUGGUCCCAGUAACUGCACCUCAGUGACCUUUCAGGCUCCAUGAGUCCUGAUUGCUAUGUGACAAUGUAUUCUAGCUUCCUGUGCAGCUUUACAAUAACCUCAGUAUCUGAGGUCACUUAUCUCUGUUCCUCUUCUGGCAAAAGAACCUAAUAAAAUACAUUCCUGAAC
rnacentral:lncRNA from 1 species